UAGCAAUGAUGCUUUAUGUCUCGUUCGGUGUAUUGGCGAUAAUCCAACAAAGCCAUGCCGACAAAACUAUACAUAUCACCACUCACAAUCUGAGCUA
rnacentral:snoRNA from 1 species